ACGCUCGACACCUACAGGAGGCAGCAGUGGGGAAUAUUGCACAAUGGGGGAAACCCUGAUGCAGCGACGCCGCGUGAGCGAAGAAGUAUUUCGGUAUGUAAAGCUCUAUCAGCAGGGAAGAAACUGACGGUACCUGACUAAGAAGCACCGGCUUAAAUACGUGCCAGCAGCCGCGGUAAUCUGAGCGGGCUGCAAGGC
rnacentral:rRNA from 1 species